UGGGGAAUAUUGGACAAUGGGGGAAACCCUGAUCCAGCAAUGCCGCGUGAGUGAAGAAGGCCUUAGGGUUGUAAAGCUCUUUCGCCCGCGAAGAUAAUGACGGUAGCGGGAGAAGAAGCCCCGGCUAACUCCGUGCCAGCAGCCGCGGUAAUACGGAGGGGGCUAGCGUUGUUCGGAAUUACUGGGCGUAAAGCGUACGUAGGCGGAUGCGCAAGUUGGGGGUGAAAUCCCGGGGCUUAACCUCGGAAUUGCCCUCAAAACUGCACGUCUUGAGCCCGAGAGAGGUAAAGCGAAUUCCUAGUGUAGAGCUGAAAUUCGUUGAUAUUAGGAAUAACACCAGUGGCGAAGGCGCCUUACUGGCUCGGUACUGACGCUGAGGUACGAAAGCGUGGGGAGCAAACA
rnacentral:rRNA from 1 species